rnacentral:rRNA from 1 species
UACUUGUACCGACUGGAUGAGCAGCGAACGGGUGAGUAACGCGUGGGGAAUCUGCCUUUGAGCGGGGGACAACAUUUGGAAACGAAUGCUAAUACCGCAUAAAAACUUUAAACACAAGUUUUAAGUUUGAAAGAUGCAAUUGCAUCACUCAAAGAUGAUCCCGCGUUGUAUUAGCUAGUUGGUGAGGUAAAGGCUCACCAAGGCGAUGAUACAUAGCCGACCUGAGAGGGUGAUCGGCCACAUUGGGACUGAGACACGGCCCAAACUCCUACGGGAGGCAGCAGUAGGGAAUCUUCGGCAAUGGACGAAAGUCUGACCGAGCAACGCCGCGUGAGUGAAGAAGGUUUUCGGAUCGUAAAACUCUGUUGGUAGAGAAGAACGUUGGUGAGAGUGGAAAGCUCAUCAAGUGACGGUAACUACCCAGAAAGGGACGGCUAACUACGUGCCAGCAGCCGCGGUAAUACGUAGGUCCCGAGCGUUGUCCGGAUUUAUUGGGCGUAAAGCGAGCGCAGGUGGUUUAUUAAGUCUGGUGUAAAAGGCAGUGGCUCAACCAUUGUAUGCAUUGGAAACUGGUAGACUUGAGUGCAGGAGAGGAGAGUGGAAUUCCAUGUGUAGCGGUGAAAUGCGUAGAUAUAUGGAGGAACACCGGUGGCGAAAGCGGCUCUCUGGCCUGUAACUGACACUGAGGCUCGAAAGCGUGGGGAGCAAACAGGAUUAGAUACCCUGGUAGUCCACGCCGUAAACGAU